rnacentral:tRNA from 11 species
CGAGGAGUAGCGCAGCCUGGUAGCGCACCUGCUUCGGGAGCAGGGGGUCGCUGGUUCGAAUCCAGUCUCCUCGACCA